rnacentral:rRNA from 1 species
AGUUUUUUGUUUUUUUAUAAAAAAUAGUUUCUGCUCGGUGAUUUUUAACAGCCGCGGUAUUUUGACCGUGCAAAGGUAGCAUAAUCAUUUGUCUUAUAAUUGAGGACUAGUAUGAAUGGAAGUACAAGAUUUUUUCUUUAUUUUAAAAAUGGCUUGAAUUUGCUUUUUUAGUGAAGAAGCUAAAAUGUAUUUAUGGGACAAGAAGACCCUUUUGAGUUUUAUUUUUUUUAAUUUUUUUAUUUUAAAAAAAAUUUGGUUGGGGCGACCAAGGAAGUUGUUUAUCUUCUUUUUUUUAUUUUGAUCCAAUGAUUUUGAUUAAUAGAUUAAAUUACCAAAGGGAUAACAGCGUUAUUUUUUUUGAGAGUUCUAAUCAAAAAUUAAGAUUGCGACCUCGAUGUUGACUUAUAAUUUCCUUUAGGUGUAGCUGCUUUUAGGGUGGGUCUGUUCGACCUUUAAAAUUUU